rnacentral:lncRNA from 1 species
GAUCAUCCCAUGCAUUUACAUGGACACAGCUUCUAUGUUGUCGGAUCUGGAUACGGGAACUUCGACCCAAACACGGAUCCGCCAAACUUUAAUCUCAUUGACCCGCCGUUGGUGAACACGGUUGCCGUUCCAAGAAGUGGAUGGAGCGCUAUCAGAUUUAAGGCUAACAAUCCAGGUUCCCAUCUCCUUUUCCUUCAUAAAUUGUUAAGCAAAAGUCUCAUAGUUUAUUAAGUAAUUAAAGUUGCAUUAAUAUUAUGGCGCGCAGGAGUGUGGUUCAUGCACUGUCAUUUCGAGCGUCAUCACAGUUGGGGAAUGAAGAUGGCGUUCAUCGUUAAGGACGGGGAAGGCCCCAAUGAGAAGAUGUUGCCUCCGCCCCCAGAUAUGCCCCUCUGUGAACCGCCCCCUGCAGCCUCAACAAUUUAGGAUUAAUUAAUUAUAUCAAUCCGCACGUAUUGUAAAAUUGAGUCUUACUUACACAAGGCUCACCAUGAUUCAUAAGAAAACCAGCAUGGGUUUCUUUUAUUUAAACUAGGGUUAUUUCUUCUAGUCCUUCCUUCUGUACACCAUCAAUGUUUCUUUAAUUUUGUCAUUUUAGUAUGUCCACAUAAUAUGUUCCCUUUUAUUUUUAAACAUUACCCCAUAACACAAUUUACUAUAGUAGGACUCAUACAUCACUCCUCCACCACACAAUAUGUGAUUUUUUAUAUAAAAAAUUGGACAAUUCAUAUGUAUUUUAUGCAAAAUGACACUUUCUUUUUCUCUUUCCUUUUUUUCACAUUAUGAUGGGAGUAUUAUCGUAAAAAUGCAUAUAUCGUUAUUUAUUUUAGAGUGAAUUUUGAAAAUAGCCACUUUAAAAUAGUAAAAUUAAAAAAUACCCACUAAGAUAAAAAAAAUUUUAAAAAAUACUCACAUUUACCAUUUUACCCUUACAUAUAAAUUUUUUACAAAUACCCACAGUUCACUAGUUGUGAAUUCAAGUUUUAAAACUCGAAUUCACAACUGAAUAACAAGUACUAAUUGUUGUGAAUUCAAGUUUUAAAGUUUGAAUUCACAACUAUAAAUAGUGUUAGUUGUGAAUUCGCGUCAAUUCAUAACCAACACUAUUUCUACUUGUGAAUUCACAACCAAUAAAACUUGAAUUCACAAUCAACACUAUUUUCAAGUUGUGAAUUCACAACCAAUAAAACUUGAAUUCACAACCAAUACGGUCAAGAUUCGUAUUAAAUUUUGUAUACAAUAAUAUAAUAUAUUUAUAAUUCUAGUAGUUGUUUAUUACGCUUGGAUUUCGAUCUUGACUUGUGGUGUGAAUUUUGAAAACAUGUAACCAUUUCAAUUUUAAAAGUUUUGAAGUAAAAAAAUAAAUAAAAUUAUUCUAAAUAUCAAUUUUGCAGUCCCGAAAACAAAUCACAUAUUAUAAUUUGACAAAGGCAUUUUAAGAAUAAUAAUAUAUUUCAUAUUUCAUAAAAAAUACCAUAUUUUAAUGAAUGACCAUAUUUUAUGUAGGAGUAUAUUUUUUUAAAUCUAAAUAACAUGUUUAUAUGAAAUGAGUCAAUGACCAAUAUAGAAUUUACUACUCCCUCCGUCCAUGAAAAAGAGUCCCACUUGGAAUUUGGCUCGGGUUUUAAAAAAGUUGUUAAAGUAGAUGUAAGUGAGAUAAAUGUAUAAUUUGUUGGGGUAUUAUUAGCACAAAAAAGUAGAAUAAAAGUACACUUUUAGUUAAAAAGUGGAAUAAAAGUACAAUUUAUAGUUAAAUGUAAAAUAAAAGGUAUGAUGUGAUGGUUCAAAAAAUUAAAUAAAACUCUUUUUCAUGANAUUUUUAUUUUACCUAAAUAUCGUUUUUUGCCUAUUUUUUUUCGAAAAAUAUAUUUUAUUUUUAAAUUGUUUUUUUAUUUUUUUUAUCGUUUUAUAAUUUUUCUUUUAAAAUAUUAUUUCCUUAAAAUUUCUCAACUACUUUUAAUCUUUUCCUAAACAUAUUUUAUUUACAUUUUUAUUUUACCUAAAUUUUGUUUUUUUAUGCCAUUUUUUUUCGAAAAAUAUAUUUUAUUUUUAUAUUGCUUUUUUUUAUUUUUUUUAUCAUUUUAUUAUUUUUCUUUUAAAAUAUUAUUUCCUUAAAUUUCCCAACUACUUUUAAUCUUUUCCUAAAUAUAUUUUAUUUACAUUUUUAUUUUACCUAAAUUUUGUUUUUUUUUUUGCCAUUUUUUUUUCGAAAAAUAUAUUUUAUUUUAAAUUGUUUUUUAAUUUUUUUAUCAUUUUAUUAUUUUUCUUUUAAAAUAUUAUUUCCUUAAAUUUCUCAACUACUUUUAAAAUUUAUAUUUUUUUCGAAACUAAUAUUUUAGUUGUUUUAAGAGUAAAUUUUUAUUUUUUUCCAAAAUUAUGUUUUAUUAAUUUGUUUCCAGAUUUUUAUUAUUAUUAUUAUUAUUAUUAUUAUUAUUAUUUAUUUAUUUUUUGAAAUUAAAUAUUUUUUUUCAAAUUUUAUUUUUAUGGGAAUUUAGUAUUUUAGUUAUUUUUUGGGGAAUUUAGUAUUUUAGUAUUUUUUUGGGAAUUUAGUAUUUUAGUUGUGGCAGCCGCAAUAGGUUGUCGUUGGAAAUCAACUUAUCUUCUAUUGUCGCCAUAAAUAAAUAAAUAUUAAUGUUAUAUAUAGGCUACAAAUUAGAAUAUUAAAACGCAGAUUUGAGGCAAAGAAAAAGGAAAAAAAUAAUAUUGAUUAUGUUUUGUAUAAGAUUUUAAGUGAUUGCACGCCAUGUGUUUGUAGAAAAUGCCUGUUCGAUUUUAAAAAAAAAAACUAAGCGAUUUGUUGCCAAAAAAAAAUACACCCCUCUAAGGAACAAGGGGGAAUCGAACCUCUGACCUUCGUCUAAUGUAUAUGAUACUUUGCCACCUUGCCCGGCAGUGGCAGCCACAAUAAGUCAUGGUUGAAAAUUAACUUACCUUCUAAUGUCGUGUACUUAUGUUUAUUUUAGCUCAUUUUAGCUUUUUCAUACAUUCAAUUUAAUUCUUAUGUUGAUUAUAAAAAUAUUUGUUGUUAAUAUAAUUUAACUAUAUUGUUGAUUAGUGUUUUAAGUGUGUAAUUAAUAAAGUAUAAAAUUGAUAAAAUAAAAGGAAACGUGUCAAGAUUCGUAAGACAACCCAAAAAUAAAAACGUGUCAAGAUUCGUGGGACGGAGGGAGUAUAUGUUAAAUGGUCUUGCAAGCGAAAUCCAAUCGUAUAAAUUUUUUUAUUUUUUCCAAAUUCAAUAAUUAAUUUCAAUACAUUGCAAAAUGCCAUCGUAUUAUUAAAUUGAGGUUUAUUAUAAAAGAAAAAGAAAAAAAUCCCUUGAGAGCACAAAACGCAGACUAAGGGCACGAAACUCGAAAAGAGAUCGUUAAGCUAAGAAUCCUGAAGACACUAGCAAUCCCAUAACUCAGGAUAGUCGUCCAUCUCAUCUGACCAACGUCUAUUUACUAUAUUAUUCAUUGCCCUCAUGCUAUCACUAUUGCUACAAUCAACUACAAAGUCCCUCGGCUUGUAGCUCAUUUCACCCGCAUUCCUGAGACGACCUUUUAUGCUACCUUCCGGAACCGCUUGCAUCGGCUCCUUUCCCAUGCCCUUUCCCGUGCCCUUUGGGCGGCCACGUCCCCGCUUGGUCGUCUUGUCCGAGAGCAUUUGCAUCCCCUGAUUAACCUGCUCUUCUAACUGACUAAUGCGACUAGCAAUAUUGUCCGGGCCAAGAGCGGACAAAUCCUUGUUACCUUCAUGCGAAACACCCCCUCUUUUGUCCAAAGUUGGGUCACGUUCGAGAUCAACAACUGUGUCGUCCAUAAUCGGGCUGUUCAAACCCGCGCCAUUCGGAGCCUCCAUCUCCAAAGUUUCCUCCACAUCCGAGUCCUCCUCGUUAAUGACUAAGUCACUAUCUUUAAUAAUCACAUCUUUAACCCCCUGAACCGGAACCAGGAUUUUAUCCAACAAAUCCGGGCCAGAUAAAUGAACCCCGAAAGACGUUCCAGAAAUAGGAUCAACGCCCAUAUCCAAAACAGUCUCCGCAUUAUUCUCCAAGUCAAGAGCCUGAAAUGCGUUCCGCGUCUCAACAGCCUCUUUCUCAAGAACCUGAACAACAAUCUGUUUUUUACCGCCUGUUCGGUAACCUUUGACCAAGCCGCAGCAGGUUUAUCAGCUAGUUGAGCUUUAGGCUUAACCUUCUUGCUCUUGUUUUCAUAAUCAGUAGCAGACUCGAUCAGAGCUUCUUUACUGUCCUGGAUGUCCUUCCGCUUAAGCUUUGUACACUUUUCCACCUGAUGUCCAGUGAUGCGGCAAUUCGAGCAAAAGAAGGCAAUUGUUCAUAGCUAAACUCGACAUAGAAAGGAUGUUCACAAUCUAUAAGCAUCGAUUCCUGCAAUGGCUGAGCGAGAUCCACUUCAAUUAGCACACGAAUGAAAUGGCCGACCUCUCCAUGAGCUGAUACACCAUCAAUUUUUAUUGGAAAACCAAUAAUUCUAGCAAUUGCUGUUAUUACCUCAGGAUCCCAAAACUCAUUCGGAAGGUAAUAAAUCCGAACCCAAACUUGACAAAUAGAAGAGACUUCCUUGUAGGGAUUGAAACAUGGAACCCAAUCGCGGAGGCGAAUGGAACCCGCAGCCAAAUCCCAAACAAUUUUAGCUUUCGCAAGUUUUUUAUCUUCAAGAUUAGAGAAUUUCAUGGUGAAAAAACCCUUACCCAGAGUGAGAAGCUUCCACUCUGAUUGGAUACCCCACAAAUUGUUGAGUUCAAGCUUCAACUGAUGUGUCGCCUGUGGCUUGCUUCCUUUCCGUAGUAAUACCCUUCCAAUAACAGAGAAUUCGAAUUCAGCAAUACGUUUUUGAUACAUCUGUUUCGGAAUGGUGAGAGAGAACCCAUCGGCGAGUUUCUCAGCCUUAAGAGCUGAGAAUUUAUGUGCUGGUAAAUCUGGAGGUCGAUCAACCCGUUGUUGCAUGAUCGAGGCGUAUGAAACCCUACCCUCUGGUGGCGGCUGCUUUGUGAAGUUAGGCACCGAAGCUGUUCCUUCAGACGGAAUUGUAGAGGUAGUUCCAGAUCCUGAUGGAUUAUCCGAUAAACAAACCUCAACAAGUUUCAAAUUCCCAUGCUCCAAAUCCCUCGACUGUUGAUAAAAGUUGUUUGAGAUUUGUGGCAGGCGAAGGCUAUUAGGUUUCUCAGGAAAUCCACGGGCUCCUGAAGCAGUCGGCGACAGAGAGGAAGCAGUUCUCUUAGCGGCGCCGGAGAGCGGCGUCGGCGAAAGAACCAUGGCUGAUCUCCGACGAAGACGGCCUUCCGGAGGCGGAGCUGAUUUGGAGAUGCUGCUCCGCCGUGGCCCGGUGGUCGUGAGAAUCAGAUCGAAGGCGGACUGGCGCCGGCGUCGAUAGAUGAGCACCGGCCUCACCGGUUCCGGUGUGCGGCGAGCAGCGUCGGGGUGGUGGCGUAGUCAACGUCGGGCUGGUGGCUUCGCCGCGCUGCUGCUGCUGGAGCACCGGUCGCCGCUCUGCAAGUCGCCGCUGCUGCUGGAUCUGCCGGUCGCCGCGCUGCAAGUCGCCGCUGCUGCUGGAUCUGCCGGUCGCCGCUCUGCAAGUCGCUGCUGCUGCUGGAUCGCCGGUCGCCGCGCUGCCGGUCGCCGCUGCUGCUCGUUCUGCCGGUCGCCGCUGCUGCCGAUCUGCAAGUCGCCGCUGCUGCCGAUCUGCAACCCCAAUCGGUGUGCGUGAAGGUGGCGACGGCGCGAGUCAGGGACAUGUGUCAGGGACAUGUGUAGGGCGACCUCGCAAUCAUCACGUGUAUUGUCAACAAAAUGCCAUCGUAUAAUGCAUUCUUUCUCAUCCAAAAAUAUGUUAAAUAUUGUCGCGGCCGAAAUCCAAUUGUAUGAAUCAUUUCACUUUAUUUCAUUUAUUUAUAUAUUAUAUUCACAAAUUUAACUUAAAUUAAUUAAUAACUCAUAAUUUUAUAACAAAUAGUUAUAUCGACUUCGUUAAACUAUAGUAUAGCAGUUCAUUGUCUUAUUGGCAUAUCACGUUUAAUUGUUUUCAAUAAAGCAUUGUAUUUCCCUCAAGUAUAUGUUAAAUAGUUUUAUAUGUUAAUUUUAUUUCCAAAUUCACUAAUUAAUUUCAAAUAAUUUAUUAACUUUAUUUCAUUGAAUAUAAUUUUUUCGACUUCACAAAGUAUAUGGUACAUAGUUUUCCAAACAAAAUCCAUUCGUUUGAUGCAUUUAUUUUAAUUUUCUUAUCGUCACUCACACAGUAGUAGUUCAUUUUCUUAUUAUUACAUCACCUUUAAUAAAGUAUAUGUUAUUUAUUUUUUCGAUCUAUUUCCCAUCAUAUGAUUCAUUUUAUUUUUAAAAAUGUAACUAAUUUAGUUUAAUCAAUUAGUUCAACUUUAUUUCAUCGAGUAUAAUUAUUUCGACAUCAUUAUUUAAACUAUUAUGAUACAUUUUCUUCAAGUAUAUGUUAUAUAUAGUUUCCCGAGCGAUGUCUCACCGUAUGAUUCAUUUUGUUUAAGUAAGAUUUUUAAUUACACAACAUAAUUCCAUUGAGUAAAAUAUUUAUUCAUUUAUAAUAUAUUUUAUGCAAUUUUUUGUUUUUUAGGCUAAAACAUAUUCAAUUGUUUUGACAAAAUAUACAUUACUUAAAAUAUAAUAUAUUAUAGGCAAUUUUAUUUUUGGCACAACUUCAAUUGUUUAUACAAUAUAAAUAUUCCUUCAUUUAUAUAAUAUUUAAUUUUAUAAUUUUCAUCAUUUAUAUUGCCCACAUACAUAUUCCUUCAUUUAUAAUAUAUUUAAUAUUAUNAAAUAGUAAUAACUAGGAAAAAAGAAAAUACAUUAUAACAAGAAAAAGGAAAAAAAAUAAGCGAAUAAGAAAACAAAAAAAUAAGCUAAUAGCAAAAGGAAGAAUAGAAAAAUAAGAAAAAAAAAAAAGAAAAAAGAAAAAAAAAAAAAAAAGGUAAAACAAAACGCAAGAAAAUGAAACACUACGAAAUGCUAUAGGGAAGAUUUGAACUCUGGUAGAUAAGAAAGGGAAAACUUUCCCCAACACUACACCACAUUUAAUUUUGUAAUUAAGAAGGAAACAGUUUUUAUAUAUUAUAUGCGAGCCCAGACCCGCCCAUCCCACACCUUAACCCGCCAGACCCGCGCCCAAACCCACCCAACCCGCGCCCCGACCCGUCUCAUGGGGUGAGGUUGACCUCACCCAAGACCAACUCAACUUAAAUUCACAACCAAUACGGUCAAAAUUCGUAUUAAAUUUUGUAUACAAUAAUAUAAUAUAUUUAUAAUUCUAGUAGUUGUUUAUUACGCUUGGAUUUCCAUCUUGACUUCUGGUGUGAAUUUUGAAAACAUGUAACCAUUUCAAUUUUAAAAGUUUUGAAGUAAAAAAAUAAAUAAAAUUAUUCUAAAUUUCAAUUUUGCAGUCCCGAAAACAAAUCACAUAUUAUAAUUUGACAAAGGCAUUUUAAGAAUAAUAAUAUAUUUCAUAUUUUCAUUAAAAAAUACCAUAUUUUUAAUGAAUGACCAUAUUUUAUGUAGGAGUAUAUUUUUUUAAAUCUAAAUAACAUGUUUAUAUGAAAUGAGUCAAUGACCAAUAGAGAAUUUACUAUUCCCUUCGUCCAUGAAAAAGAGUCCCACUUGGAGUUUGGCUCGGGUUUUAAAAAAGUUAUUAAAGUAGAUGUAAGUGAGAUAAAUGUAUAAUUUGUUGAGGUAUUAUUAGCACAAAAAAAUAGAAUAAAAGUACACUUUUAAUUAAAAAGUGGAAUAAAAGUACAAUUUAUAGUUAAAUGUAAGAUAAAAGGUAUGAUGUGAUGGUUCAAAAAAUUAAAUGAAACUCUUUUUCAUAAACAAAAAAAUAGGAUUAGUAUGACUCUUUUUCAUGGACGGAGGAGUAAUAAAAACCCUGGCAUUGUAAAAAGCGAGGAAAAAUACUUGUCUGCUUUAUUUGAAUUCAUUACCAAAAAGGGAAAUGAUUGACCAAAAAGCGUAAAAGGGGUAAAAAAAACGCGUCACGUUAAAAAGUCGAGAAAUUUUCAUGAUAUUUUUUUUUUUUUUUUUUAUCUUCUUCUUCGAAUCACUGUCACACUAUCAACACUCUGAUAACGAACCACUCUCUCUCUCUCUCUCCCUCACACACAUACACACCUGAAAACCGUCUCCGAUUCUUCAAUCACUUCGAAAUUGAGUGAACUGGAGCUCAAAAGAUCCCCGAGAUUGGGAUCAAAUGGGUCGCAACUCAAUAACCCCCGGAGAUUCAGCUUCCGACGACGCAUCGGCGGCCACAUUCCACUCGAUCCGCGACCGUUUCGCCUUCAAGCGGUACCACAACGCUAGCAGCGCGGCCGAACUUCCGCGCUCCUCCAAAACGGCGACGUCAGCGCACAAAACCUCCCGAUCUCACCACCACAAGCAGCGGAAGCUAUCGUUCUACCCAUUCAAAGGCAAAUCGAGGCUCUACGUGUGCAUUUUCACGGUGCUUUUCGUGUUUUUUGUGGCCUCGAUGGUUUUGCAGAGUCGAUCAUGCUGGCUUUUCGGCAGGGAGUUGGUGGCGAAAGAAUGCGGUGGAGGUGGUCGGUGAAGGAGGGGUUGGAGCUGGGGAGCUCGCUGGAGUUUGUGCCUCGGCGGAGGCUAGAGCUGAACGGAAGCCGGCUCGAUUUGCUCAGAAGCCAGCCGAGGAUUGGUAUUCGGCCUCCUAGGAUCGCUUUGGUAAGUGAUUGAUUGAUAUACAUGUUUCUUUAAGAUGUAAUUAGGAAAUUCAAAUUCCUAUGAUUGAACUUGAAUUUAAGGUUAAUUAUGAGCUUAUAUUGUUAUACAUGCUGAAUUGGUGGUUUGCAUGAUCAGAGAUUUGAUAGUUGUUGAAAUUAUAUGCAUAAUGAUCUGGAAUGUAAAAGCGUAAGUGCCAAAACCAAAUGUCUAUGUUUGACGGAAGAGUAGUUCAAAUCCUGUUUUCAAAUGCGUGUCUUCCUUAUUAUAGGUGUGAAAAAAUGAGAUAGAGCUUUGGUGAGUGAUAAUCACUUCAUAAUUCCAGCUUCGGCUUGAAUAGGAUAUCAAGAGGAUAGGUAAGAUGCAAGAGUCACAGAACAGUCGCGUGGCAUGGCCUUAAUUCUGCUGAUUUCUAGGUGAAUAUGCAUUUUGUAGCGGAUCAUUUAUCAAUUAUCUGAAUGCUAAAGGCAAUCUAUGUCAGAUAGGUUUAAUAUUGUUCGUUUGCAACCUUCAUACCUUACUCACACACACACGCAUGCUUCUUUUCUACCUAAUGAAGUGCAAUGAGACUGAGUCACUCUUGUCAUAUUUUAGGCAGUCAUCUAUUUGUCUUUCUCUUAACUUAUGAAAGUGUUGUGGAAAAACCCAAUGCCUUUUAACACUUUCCAAACCUAAAAAUUAAUAAACUUCUGAUAAUAGCUGCAAGAAGGUGGUGUUUGCAUGUGUUAAAUAUGUGGGUGAUUGAACAAGCAUUGUAACAUUAGGAUCUCUCGAUUAUGGUGUUGCUUUGCCAUGUUUUCCGCGAUGAGCUAUGGAAAAUUCAAGUACAAGUUUUGUACUUCGUUAUGCUCUAAUUUAUCUUACCUACCCACCUUGCGCACCUUUUUUCCCUGCAAGGUAGGGAUUAGAUGUUUGUCCAAAUCUUUGAUUUCCUUUUGUUGACUUCUAAGAUGCAUUCUGCAAAAGGCAACAACUUCUAGUAUUGCCAUAUGCAUUCCAAUUGAAAUGCUGUAAUAUAUUUAUUCAUUCUUUUUUAUCAAUGCAAGAUCUUAGGGAACAUGAAGAAAGAUCCUUCAGCACUAUUGCUGUAUUCUUUGAUGAAGAACUUAAAAGGUCUCGGCUAUCUGCUUAAGGUAUUUUUUUCAUAACAGUUUGCAUUUGAUGCUACUUAACUGUUUUGUAUUCAUAAUGACAAUUGUAAAACCCAUACAAGCUAAGUGCCCAAUUUUUUCCUAACCUUCUCCGCUCUUCACUUUCAUCUCUAAAACUAAAGGAUAAUCUCUGUAAUUGAAAAUUUUCUGUAUAAAAUAGUGUGCAUUCAUCAUGCUCUGGAUAUAAUAUAGUAAUUCAGAAAGUGUAAAGAUCAUUGGAAAAAAAGAGUUCAUGCCCAGAAGCUCCAGACCUUGAUAGAGUAGGUGUAACCAAAGAAUUAGUAUAAGCAGCAGCCUCCCUGGAAUUCGAGUUGGGAAUAUUACUUGCAUGUUGUAUACCUUCUUGAGUGAAAGUGUGCCAUAACUCUUAGUACUAUUACUCUGAGAUAAUGGCAUAACUACUUAGUAAAUAAAUUUCUAUGAGCUUUGAGUAUAUGUCCUCAUCAACUUCUUAAGCUCUAGUAAUUAAUAUCUUAGUUUGGAUAUACGCUUCCGCGCAUGUGAAAUGAAACCACACAUUCUUGCUGUAAUAGAAGUGAAAACUAUCUAAACUCUUCAUAUAUAUAUAAGCUAAGAGUCUGCCUUUGUACGUAUGAAUCUGUAGGAGAAAGUUCUGGAACAAAUAUUAGCUUGCAGUUGAAACUUGUGAUAAUAUCAGUUACUAAAAUACGUCUAUAUCUUCCUAUUAUGCACAUUUAAAAGUUUACCUAUACCCCAUAUACUUUCUGUAGUUAUUUGCCCUCAAAGAUGGCAGAGCUCGUUCUGUCUGGCAAGAGCUUGGAGGUCCAGUUUCAAUUUUAUGGCCUGAAAGAUAUGGUUACAUUGAUUGGUCAAUGUAUGUUUUCUCUUCCAUUUCUUCAUUUUACCCUAGAAGUUCUGUAUGUUAGUUGCAUAUAUUGUUGAUUAGUUUUCUCUAGGCACUAUAGCUGAGCGAUGCCUUUUUCUGCCUACAGUUAUGAAGGUAUUGUUGCGGAUUCCCUUGAGGCAAAACAUGCCAUUUCCAGGUAUUAUUUCUUGAAAGAAUUUUCUGUGUUUCAGAUACAUCCUUUAACUUUCAUCGCUGGAUCUAUAUCACAAAUGAGGCGAACACAAAAGUAAAAUACUAUGAUAAAUGAGGCCUAGUGAAUAUUGUCCUUUAGACCCACUUCUCCCCAGCCCAAAUUUAGUUAGCCAUUUGAGGUCAGUUAGUUUUGCUGUUUUCUGUCAGUAAGAUUUCCUCCCAUAGAUCUGAUUGGUGCACUGAUGGCAAGCACACAUACUGAUAGAUAUUGUUCCUAACAAAGAGAGAAUCUCAUACAAAUAUGACCAGUUGUGAGUGAUCAAAAUUGUUGUCUAGGAAAUUAUGUGCAAGCAUCAUCAAUUUGAGCAAAGGUUUUUGGGUACAAGUUUAGCUACAGAUUCAGAUGCUAAAUAAGUAUGUUCCAACAGGCUUUCAACCAGGUAGCUAUUGGAUCACUAUAGUGUAGGGAAAUCUACAAUACUGACUACAUCCUCAUGGUCCAUAUUAUCCCUAUGAGUGGUUCCAUGCUUGCUGUCUAUGAGAGGGUGACUGCAGCAAAACUGCUAGAAGUGACUCCAAAGCUCCAAUGCCUGCCUGACAUAAGGCGAUAGUUUCUCUUUGGCUUCUCCUGUCUUUAAAGCUUUAGUAUGCCAUACACCACCAUGCUUAACAUGCCAACCUUGAUAUUUUUCCUUAGACUGCAUCACCAGUAGAUCUCUGAAUCAAUGUACCACGAAAUUUACUUUCCUUCAGUACAGAAAAAAUUAUUUCUAAGAGAAGACUUGAGAGUUUUCUUGAGAAAAGCUACAGGAGAUUGUUCAGUUCUGAAAGGACCAUCUUGAACCAGAGCUUCAGUGAACAUAACAAUAGUUUAGGACUCCUCCACGUUUCCUAUUCCUAUAGCAAACAUGUAUGUGAUGGAUACUCCCAUGCAGUGUACACUGCGUAGUGCUAUUUGGUAUUCUAUGAUUUGUCAAUUUGAUAUCUAUGCAGCCUUAUGCAGGAGCCUUUUUGCUCUGUGCCUCUGAUAUGGAUUAUCCAAGAGGAUACUCUCGCCAGUCGUCUACAACUUUACGAGGACAAGGAUUGGGGCCAUCUCAUUUCUAAUUGGAAAAUUGCUUUCAGUAGGGCUGAUCUUGUGGUGUUUCCAGAAUUUUCUUUCCCGGUAAAAUUCUUUCUGGAUUUUUUCUUCUUAAGAUGUGACUUAUAUAAGGAUUGUCUUAGUUCUGAGUAUUUAUUAUUCCUCUUCCUGUAUCAGAUGUUAUAUAGUGUUCUUGACACUGGAAACUUCUUUGUAAUUCCUGGAUCUCCAAUAGAUGUUUGGGCUGCAGAAAGCUAUAGUGAGACUCAUUCCAAAUCUCAGCUACGGAAGGAAAAUGGUUUUCACGAUGAUGACCUGCUGGUUCUAGUUCUUGGGAGUUCAUUCUUCUACUAUGACCUAGCCUGGGAUUAUGCAGUGGCAAUGCAUGAUCUAGAACCUGUGCUCCUCAAAUAUGCAGGACAAAAUGAUGUUGGAUUUACAUCAAAGUUCAUUUUCCUUUGUGGAAACUCCAGCAAAGUAUACAGUGAUGCCUUGCAGGUAUAUGUUUGCAAUUGGCUGUUCUAAAUGUAAGAUUUUUACUGCAUCUGUCCAUGUGGGUUUCAGAAAAUGAGAUGCCAAUAAGGUUUAACAUUGCCACAUUUGAUUUCUAUUGGGAAAUGAUGACAGGUACUCCCUCCAGCAAUAAUUUGUCGGUACACAACAGCUGAUUCUUUUGAUAGUUCUAAUAUAAUUAGUCCAAAUUUGUUCCGUAUCAUCUCACAUUUGAUUUAUUUUGUUAUGAUUUAUGUAUGUACAUGUUUGAUUCUGGCUCAUUUUUUCAAACCACAAUGUUGGAAAUAGAAUUGGAUGUGCUCUGUUUGUACCUUCUACUUGAAGAAACUGGCAGUUUUCAGUUCUGCCUUUAAUAUUAUUUUUACUACUAACACUGUUACACCUAUGUAGGAUAUUGCAACUCGUCUGGGAUUAAAGCAAGGAUCAUUGAUGCAUUUCGGCAUAAAUAGUGAUGUGGACAGUCUAAUACUGAUCGCUGAUAUUGUUCUGUAUGGAUCCUCCCAAGAAGAUCAGGGAUUUCCUCCUUUGCUGACUAGAGCCAUGUCAUAUGGGAUUCCUAUAAUUGCUCCAGAUUAUCCUGUCAUAAGAAAAUAUGUACGUCACAUUUGUUUCUCUUUUGAAGUGAUCUUGUAGCUAUCCUCUGAAGCUUAUAUUUUCCAUGGAUUGAUAUUUUGAAUGUAGGUUGUUGAUGGAGUUCAUGGAAUAAUUUUUCCAAAAAAACAUGCUGAAGCAUUAACAAAUGCCUUCUCCCUCCUGAUAUCUGAAAGAAAAUUAUCUAGAUUUGCACAUUCUGUUGCCUCCUCCGGAAGGCUUCGUGCCAAGAACAUGUUUGCAGAAGAAUGCAUCUUUGUUCUUGCAAAGUUAGUGGAAGAUAUCUUUGAUUUCCCAUCAGAUGUCUUGCUGCCAACCCCUGCUUCCCAACUGAAAAAUAUUGUAUGGGAAUGGAAUCUCUUUAGAAAAGAGCUCGACCAGAUAUCUAGUGAGAGAGGACAUCUGUAUAUAGAAGAUCAUUUGAGUGUGAAUUCGAGUGUUGUAUAUGACCUUGAGGAAGACAUGAUAAGUUACGUUGCAUUGGGAAAUGUCAGUGGGUACAAUCCUGAAGGUCUGGAAGAGGACAUGCCAACAGUUUUGGACUGGGAGAUCUUGAACGAAUUAGAGAGCUCUGACGAAGUUGAGAUGCUGGAAAGAGAGGAGGUACAACCAUUCUUUUGUCACUUUUGAAGUCUUUUUCAUCAUUUAACUGCAACCCCCCAUUUAUCUCUUUUAGCUGAUGGCAUCCUCUUAUGCUGUGCAGGUUGACGAAAGAUUGGAGAAAGAUAUUGGUGAAUGGGAUGAGAUUUAUCGUAAUGCUCGAAAAUCAGAAAAGCUCAGAUUUGAAACAAACCUGAGAGAUGAAGGCGAACUAGAAAGAACUGGGCAACCAAUUUGCAUUUAUGAGAUCUACAAUGGUGCAGGGGGUUGGCCAUUUCUGCACCAUGGUUCGCUAUACCGUGGGUUAAGCCUUGUAAGUUCCUCACAACUGGGUUGGUGCAUUGUACUUGGAUUACUAUUUUAUGGCCUUAUUAUGUAAAUCUGAUGGACCAAGUAUCCCCUAUUUUCUGAUUUCAUUUUAAUGAUUUCUUCCAUACUAAUCUAAGACCCGAUACAAUUUUGUUUAAGUAUUUAGGUGAGGCCAUUCAUUUGAUUAUAUUUCUCCUUUCUGUGCAUUAACUUGCUACUUCAAUAGUACUUUCUUCUUUUUGGCUUGCUGUAUCAGUCUACUAGAGCCCGGAGAUUGAGUUCAGAUGAUGUGGAUGCAGUUGGUCGGCUUCCCAUCUUAAAUGACACUUCUUAUCGUGAUAUUCUUUGUGAGAUUGGAGGAAUGUUUGCUAUAGCUAAUGGAAUUGACGACAUUCACAAGGGACCUUGGAUAGGAUUUCAGUCAUGGCGUGCUGCUGGGAAGAGGGUAUGCAUAUUUACUGUCAUGUGCAUCCAUCCUUACACGUAGACCAGUUCUUUUAAAUCCAAAUUACAUAAGAAAUUGAGUCCUGUCUCUACUACUCCCUUGAAUUAACGAUUUUUAGAACAUAUUACUCAUGAAUGUCAACGCUGCCUGCAUUUGACUAAUCUUGCUUGAUCAUCUCAGGUAUCUUUAUCUAAAAAAGCCGAAGAUGUUUUGGAGAAAACAAUACAAGGAAACACUGAAGGGGAUGUGAUAUACUUUUGGACUCAUCUCGAUAUGAAUGCCGGUGUUGUAGGACAGAAUGAUCUGCUUACGUUUUGGUCAACAUGUGAUAUUAUGAAUGCAGGAAGGUGCAGGUGAGUGUUACCAAAUAGCAUUUCAUUUAUUUACCUAUUCAAUUCUAUACUUAUCUUGUUUUCCUUUGAAAAGAUCGUCUUAGGCCCUUUAACAAUCAUUUCGAAACACCUCUAGUUAGCUGACUCAUAUUCUUUUGAUGAUUUCAAACUCACAGAACAGCUUUCGAGGAUGCAUUUCGAAGAAUGUAUGGGUUGCCAUCAAAUGUAGAAGCUCUUCCUCCCAUGCCUCAAGGUGGUGGGCAUUGGUUGGCCCUACAUAGCUGGGCGAUGCCUACGUCUUCUUUUCUGGAGUUUGUAAUGUUCUCCAGGUACUUCUUUAUGCACCAUUAUCAUUUCAUAACAUACAUUAAGCCGGCUUACUCUAUCGCUGCAUUACAUCGAGGCAGUCAAACGGAUAAUAGUUAGACUCUAACUGCGACGUUGAUCCCAGGAUGUUUGUUGAUUCUCUUCAUAGUCUACGCAUGAAUUCAACAAACACAUCCGCUUGUUUUCUGGGCUAUUCAGAACCGGAGGUAUGAUUCAAAAAUGCUAUAACUACCACACACACACACACACACAGUUUCUCAUGCUGAGUUCCACUUCGUGCAGAAGAAGCACUGUUACUGUCGAAUUUCGGAACUCCUAGUAAAUGUGUGGGCUUAUCAUAGCGCACGAAAGAUGGUUUACAUUGAUCCCAAUUCAGGCUCGCUGCAAGAACAACACCCUAUCGAUCAGCGGAAAGGCUUUAUGUGGGCAAAAUAUUUCAACAUCACCUUAUUGAAAAGUAUGGAUGAAGACCUUGCAGAGGCUGCAGACGACGACGACCACCCUUACAGACCGUGGUUGUGGCCGUUAACCGGAGAAGUUUUCUGGCAAGGCGUGUACGAGAGGGAGAGAGAGGAGCGAUACAGGCUGAAGAUGGACAAGAAGAGGAAGACGAAGGAGAAAUUGCUAGACCGGUUAAAGCACGGAUACAAGCAGAAGACACUAGGAGGAUAGACAGGCCGAUGAUCUCGUUGAUGAAACUAUCUGACUUGCACAUUGCAGCUGAACCAGUUGUCCAUUCUCAGAUCAGGAUCCGAGACGAGGCGUGCUCGUCGCGGCCUCGAUUUUCUCACAGCAUCGGGGAUACUCCCCCGCUGACACGAUCAUCUAACAUUACACGAACAUAGGCUGCCGGAGACGGCGCAGCGUGACCAAGGCCACAAGCCAGUCUCUCUCCCUCUCUCUCUACACAUGCUUGAAGCUUUUGUAAGUUGGCUCCAAGUAUCUAUUUGAGGUGUACCAAUUUUGAAUGCGGUUGUUUUAGUUAUACCAUAAACAUAGUAUAAGACUUGUAAGGUUUCUGUUUUUCUUUCUUAAAUUGUAUAUACCAUUCAUAAUUCAUAAUAAUAACAUAAUUCUAAAGAAAAACUAACCCUUUGAAGGAAACUUCUUCAUUUAUGUUUGUGGUUGUAAUAUUUUAAUUUUUGUUUUGCUAAAAUUGAACCUGAUUUGGAGGAUAAUUGCAUGACUUGAAAAAUGUAAAACGGGGUUGCUAUUGCAUAAAUAAACAAAACUAAGUUGUUGUUUGUAAAGUGAAAUCAAUUUACAAUUACAAACAAUGUAACGUGUGUGUAUUAAUAACAAAAUUCAAAAGUCGUGUGCUAAAUCAAAACUUAAAGUUUGUGUAUUUAAAUAUUUGGACUAUUAAUAAACUAGGAGUAAUAAAUUUGUUCCAGGGUUCAUAUUUUGUAAAUUGGAUUUAAUUUCUAAAAUGUUUUAAUUGUAUAAUCAUAUUUUGAUUGAUAACAAAUUUAAAAUUAUUAAUUUUUUCGGCAAAAAUUCAUUCUUGGAAUGAUAGUAUUAUUUUACCAAUGAAAUAACAUCAUUUUAACACUAACAAAAAUAGAGAAGUUGAAUUUAUUCCAAAAGUAAGAUGGAUUUACUGAAGCGCAUUAAUUUGCUACGAAUUAGAUAACGAUAUUAUUAAAACAUACUCUCUUCGUCCCAUGAAGUAUGACACAGUUAUUUUCGGCACGAGAAUUAAGAAAUUGAUAUUUUGUGUGUUAAGUGUGGUAGGUAAAAAAGUGAAAACGUGAAUAAAAAAUAAUUUUUUUGCUAUUUUUAGAAACGUGUCAUGCUUCGUGGGACAACUAAAAAGAAAACUGUUCAUGUUUCAUGGGACGGAGAGAGUAUAAAAUGAAAUUAAAAAAAAUGUCGAUUUUUUUUUUUUGAGCAGAAAAAAAUGGCGAUUUAAUUGAGGGGUUUUUGAAUGGUUUUUAGUUGACAUAUUUGCAAACACCUAAUAGCAGCUAACGACAACUUCACUGGAGCCGCCAUUGAACUGAGCUUCUUCAAUUCAGAGCUACCUCUCUCGAUCAAAUUGUGAAAAAAGCACCUAGAAUCCCAUUACACAACAGAAUGAGCGAUUGAUGAGUGUGCCGAUGAUUGUCUGUAAUAGCAGAAGAAGAGGUAUUUGCAAGAAGUUGGGGAAAUCGAAUUUGGGUUUGCAGGCUUGAAAAAUCUGUCGCCGUCGCCAUGUCUGUAAGUUUGAUGCUCAGCAGAACUUCUGUAAGGUUGCAUUUGUCCGUUUUCUAAAAAANAAAAAAAAUCCUAAUUUUGAGUUUCAGAGUUGAUUAUCAAUGGCGAACGCUAAACCAUGGCGGAUCAUCCCAAGACCCCUGCUGGAAACAGUGCUCAACAAUCACGUGCAGCACCACCGCGUGCCUCAGCCUCUCAUCCUUCAUGGCCCCCGUGGCUAUGGAAAAACCACCCUUAUUCUUGAACGUAAGCAAAUAUGACUCCCCCUUUUUGUAUGUGUGUGUGUGUCAUUGUGGUGUGCUGAGCCUAAUUAUGUGGAAUUUGUGGAAGAGAAGGUGGAAAGAUGAGAUACUGGAAUUGAUUCAUAAUAGCUUUACUUUUUAACUUAUUUAGAGAAUGUUUUCUAUGUUUUCGGAUGCAUUUGUUACAUGAUUAGAUUAUUUUCAUCUUCACCAUAAGGAGUUUUCCGAUCCUAGUCUUAGAAAUAGUUAAUGGCUUUAUGAUAUCCCAAGUUACUAAUCCAUCUUAGUAAACAAUGGAUUAGUCUAUACCAUUUCUGUCUAUCUUGGCUUGUCCUCAAAUGCAAAUGCCUCCUUGGGGUUUUAGAGUAAUGUGAUGUGUGCCUUGCAGUCUUUAGCGAUUAUCAAGUAAUAGUUUUAGCAUAACUCUUGCAAUGGGGUUUCAGUUAUCAUGUAUUGUUUGGUUAUGUAUGAGUAAAUGUUCUGAAUAUGUGUUUUGUGGUUCCCGACUAGUGUUGUUCCGUGUCCUUGGAGUAUUUAGUGCAGAUUUCAUGUCUUCAUGUCAUGUUUGGUGCAGCAAACCAAUUAUGUCUGAACUAUGACCUACCAUUCUGGUGGACUUGAUCUAAAGAGCCUUCCCAAUUUUCUUAUUGGCAGGUCUAUUUGAUAAAUGGAAUACUGGCCCGCACGUUACUGGUUAUGUCGACUUUGCAGAAUCAGUAAAGGAAUACCAUCCAAAGCAUGGGCAAUCAUAUCCAUGGACAUCGUGGACGAUGUGUCCGCCUCCUAAACUUGUUACGCUGAAGGCUCAGCUUGAGAACUGCCUUGAGUCAAUGGCCCAGAGGGCCAUAAAGCUUGGGACUAUUAAUUCCCACCAAAUAUUUAAGACUCUUACCAAAUGGCACAGUCCAACCACGGCCCUCAACCAGAUUUUGAAUGUUAAGACUGUUUCCAAAAUGCAUAUAGUUGAUAAAAAGAACAGGGUAUCCCCAUCAAAAUUGUGGAACACUGCAAUUUUUAAAUUUUCUUCUGCAUUAAAUGAGCAAGAGUUAGAUGGGGUUCUCGAUAAGAGCAUUUCUGUGGAGGAGUCAUCAUAUUACAAGGAAGCCAUGGCAGCACUGAAGUUGGCCAAAGAGGUGAUUAGGAUUCAAGGAAAGUGGAGGGAGAAUGCAAUUCAAGAUUUGAACAAUAGUGGUGGAUUUUCGCGUUCCCUAGGACAUUCUGCUACUGAUUGGCCUUGUUUGUUGCUAGAGUUAUUGUCUUUAGCUGCAGAAGUUGAUUAUUUUCAGGUAUUCAAGUUUUAUUCAAGUUUAAACUGAAAAGUUGAAGAAGGAGAGCACCUGUCAAUUUUCUAUCAGUUCUGACAAUCAAAACACGUAUGUUACAAUAUAGUGCACAGUUGGGUGUCUUUUUAGCUUUCUAAUAAUAGAAUUAAUACGAUCACUCUUUGUAGAUAUGAGUCUUGCUGCUUUCUUCAAAAGCACACCAUUAGUGUAAAUUGUGCAAACAGGAUCUGGCACCUUAUUGGUAAUAAACUAUGAAUGCAAUGUAUAAUUGGGGGAUUAUGAGAGACAAUUUAUUGUUGAUAGUUCCACCCAUGCCUCAUUUUUAACUUCUUUCUCUAUUUCUUCCUUUUUCCUGGGUACUGAUGAAAUAAGUAGCCAAAGCUGGUGAUAAACAAUAUAGAGCUUCUGAAAAAUGCUGCUUUAGAGAAUGAUAGAAUGAUAUGUGGAUCCACAUACCAUGACAGCCUGAUUUGGAGAAUAAUAGCUUUGGGUGCAAAUGAAAGGUGUCUUCCAGUAAUUUUUGUAACUUCUGAUGGGUAAGUUUUCGUAUUUAUUUAUUUCUGGUUUAUUGAAGCAUAAGAUCAGUUUGGUUGAAAGCAUAAAACAAAUUGACAUAGCUGCUAACAAAGUCAUCCAUUCAUUCUUGCUCUGAUUUUCAAGUGAUCAGAAGAUUCUGUAGGAUUAUUCUUUGACCCUCUUAAGCCUCCUGUGCUAACUCCAAAAAUCUUACCCAUAGUCUCUUUCAAUCCUGGGAUUUUCUAGUAGAGAAGUUUCCUCUCUUCCUGAUUACCCAAUUAUUUUUUGCUGCCUUUUUUGUCCUGUUUCAUCAGAUUAGCUAUCUUCUGGAAGGACUGACUGUUAAGUUUGGGCUCAUCUUUUACGGGAUCUUCUGAUCUCAUUCUUGCUCUGUUCCUUUAAUGGCUCAGAUUCUUUUUCACUCUACCACUGAAUCUGAUUUCAGGUUGAACUUAUUUGCCUGUUAUUCAGGGCAUAUAUGACCUUCUCAACGUAUGACUGUUUUAGACUAUGUUAUCAGCUAUUUAUGGCUCAUUUCAACUUCUUCAGGUCUUAUCUUCAAGUAGGAUGUUUAACCACUUAUAGCAACACUUUAAUGUGGUUAGUCUUAUUGACUACCUUACAUCUAGAUCAUUGCCCAAAAAACGAGCUAAUAAUAAAAUAGUUUGAUAUGUCUAAAACCAAUUGACCAAACAUUUCAGAAUAAUAAAAGCUAUAUUAAAGCUUUGUCUUGACCAAAAUAUUUAGCUUUAUGAGUUUGUGUUAUAACUUCAUAAUUGGUCUUCCAACUGAUUGUUGUUAUUAUUUAAUGCACCUGUUCUUCUCGUUGCUUAUCAUAGCUCAAAAAUAAUAUGCAGCUACUACUCAUAUAAAGCUUUUAUUGAUUUUGGAUUUCCAGAUGUUUUCAUCUCCCGUGAGGUAACCACCCUCUCUCUAUAUAUAUAUAUAAAUAUACGCAUAUGCUAUUAGUUAAGCUUUGAUUAUUUUGAUGCAAAUGUUAAUUUCAGACAUUUGGAUGGACUCCGGCAGAAGCAAAAUUGCAUAUGGUUGAUGAUUAUUUUAGUCAGUCUGAGGUAUUGUCAAUUGAAUUAAUAUUAGUCAUUUGUAUGUUUUGCGAUCAUAUGAUUAGUUUCUUGAAAGAAUUUCAUGUUUUCUUAUAAAUUAUAUGAAACUGGAAUGCUAAAAAAGUAUAUUAGAUUCUUAUCAGCAAUAAUUUUUAAUAUUGAACCCUGUUUGUUCCUGUUGUGUGGUCUGCCAUUACUCAAUUGGAUUUUGAAUUAUUGUUGUUUCUCUUGUUGCGAGAAGUAAGAAUAUAAAUCAAGAAGCAUCAGUAAUUGCAGGUCGAUGCUCUUUGGUCACCGUUACUUAAACCAUAAAGAUGGCAUGGGGCUAUGCAUCUAAUCUUGUUUCGGGUAUAACCUAGGGUUAUUUGAAUCUGAUUGUUAAAAAUUUACCAUUUCUUUCCAUGAUUUAUCUUGAGAGGUAAGAGAAGAUUUGGUCAAUAUGAAGAAACAAUUCUAACUGUAAUUAUGUUUCAUAAAUCCUAGCACCCUCAAAUGAAACCUUGUUUAGAACCAUCAUAGUCUUAAACUUAUCCAAAUUUGCAUUUGUGCUUAUGCUUCUAGAUAUACUUGAAAAUGUAGAGGUAUGAGAUACUCAAAUUUAUUUCUCAAAUGUUUCAUAUACUCACGUUGCUAAUCCAAUGUGCAGUGGGAAGUAAUUGUUGAGGUACUGGGGUCAAAUUCCCGACAUCUAUUUGAGGUUUAUGCUCUCAAGCUCAGUAAUUAUUACCAGAAGUAAGUUUUAUUAAUAGGCUAAAUUUCAAUAUAUAUACUGGUCAAUAUUGAAUUUAAUAUGCAACCUGUGCAUUUUCCUCUUGGUAAUCAUCUUGUUCUAGUUCUUUAGGUUUAGUUUUGCCUACACUGUUCCUAAAAGGUAUUGCCUUCACCUGUCAAUCUCUUGAUUUUAAAAGUGUCCAUACAAUGAACAUCUUGUCCAAUUUAACUAUUUUCUUCAUACAUGCUGAUGUUUCCAUCUCUAUCUGUCUUUGUCCAUGUCUACCUGUGUGUCUCCUGAUCAUACCUCCUCAUCACAACUAUAUUAUACACACAUUCCUGAAAUGCACUGUUGACUUUCCCAAAUGAGUGCAGUAGACAGCACACACCUUUUUCUAGUAACCAUCAUGACCUAACUGGCUCAGCAUUACCUUUUGUUUCCAACGAUAGCAUACGCUUCCACCAAACCACAAAUAACUUGAAAACUAUGUUAAUCAGUAAUCUCAGUUCUCUAAUCAUGGAAGGUGCGUUUUUGGAACCCCCUGCCUGUUGGUUAAAUUUUUGUCACUCUUCCUUUUCUCUUCAGUUUCCCACUAUUGUCAUUGAUGUUACCUAUCUUUUCUGCUCGUUCCACUUAUGCUGGUGGUACAAUGGUUGAGUUAAAAUGGGUGAGGAUGCUGCAUAAGGAACGGAAAAUAGUGGUUAGGAGAGAGAAGGAUGAUCUUGUUGAAAUGCAUCUUUUGCCAGAUACCAAACAUUUGGCACCCCUGACAGCUAACUUAUAACUUUGAUUUCAGGAUGCUGCAUAAGGAAUGGAAAAUUAGGUUUUAGUAAAAUGUUUCUAGCAGAAAUUAAUUGCAUUGAACUGACUACUAUAACUUACAGCGUGUAUAUUUAUCAAGAGUAUACAUUUUCUGAAUUAUGAAGAAUUAUUUUUUGAUUUGGAAAUUGUCGAGAAUUUUUUUACCUGGCUGAACAUGUAUAUCCUUCCAAUCACAGGGAGAUGAACUUUGAGAAUGAGACUACAUUUGAAGAUAUCAUGGACCUAUAUCUAGCGUACUUGCAAGUAAGGUUAUAAUAAGUUUAAAUUCUGAUCUGCAUUUCCAUUUCUUUUCCAUUUUCUACUUAUUAGGACCAGCCAACUUAGAGAACCACAAGUAGCAAACAACUAUACAUAAAAAGAAGGGAGAGGCUAAUUGGGCGAGAUUCAAUUUGGAGAAAUGGGGAAGUGUUGUUUACAAGAUAAUUGAGGCUGUCAAUUUUUUAUUCCAAGAUAAUAUGUUUGUAUUGCACAAAUAUUAAUUUUACCCUGUAUGUUACUUCAGUUUUACCAUAGUACAUAUUUUUUAUCAGAAAAUGUGGAAAAGCUAUUAUUUUCUCAAGUUCCACAUCCGUUUUCUAUUUAACACUAUUUAUCUGCUAUAGGUAAGCGUUGUUAAUCCUGCUAUGGAUAAAGCAUUAUUGCUCGUGGAAAAGUUUGCUGAUGAUGCACAAAAUGGGAAAAUCCCAGAGGAUGUAUUACGAGUCGGUGCUCCUUGGAGGCAUCCCCCCAAAACAGAUGUUGCAGCAUGGGCGAAAAUUCAGCUAAUGGACUUCAUUCAGUCUCUAGUGAAUGCAGGGUUUGUGGUAAAAUUUAAACUAAUACUGUGGUGCUACUUCUUUUCAAUGAGGAAAUUCUACAUUAUCUGUGAUUUUUUACUUGGCCAAAUUGUUCGUCAUUUUAUUCCUGCAUCUAAAAUGAGGUCUAAUUCUCAUUGACAUUGUUAUAUUAUAUUUCAAAAUACUACUCGAUUCAUGUUUUGUCCAUUUAAGCAAUUCUUAAAUUGCGUGAGAGCAUUUGAAAGUUGUCUCAAUUGGUAUUUGAGUUCUUCUGGAGGUUCUGCUCAUGUAGAACAGUUGGUCAGUUGAAUUUCUGAAAAAAUAAAAAUAGGAUUUUCCUUAAACUCAAUGCAGGUUAAUUACUUUGCUGACUGGAGCCUCGAGUUCUUGGAGGAUCCUGCCGCUGAUGCACUGCUACAGGUAAUAAUGACAUUUGUAAUUUUACUUUGUCACCUUAAUCUUGGAUUCUUAGUUCAUUGUAUCUCAGCAUUCCAGAAAUCCAGGAUGCCUUGUUUAAUAAUAGGCUCUUGUAUACCUUCAUGCACUUCUUUUACACCGAACUACUUCACUGUCAGAUUGGAGAGUUUCCACUUUCUAUAAGCUACAGACUGCUAUUGUCUUGAGUGAAUUUUUUGCAACUUCCUUAUUAUUAGAUUAUCCUUUGCUUAUAGACAAUAAAGGGUAACAGAAGUGGUGCUUUAUAGAAGAUUUGUCAUGAUUAGUCCUUUAGUUGCAAAAGGCAAUUAUCAUACCUAACAUGCAUGCUCCCUAUCCGGCUCAUAUCUGAGGGUGUGGCAUACUUUUAACAAUAUCAUUUUCGUAAUUUUAAUACAUUCUGCAGGUUGGUUUGUUGUACACCCAACGUGAUCCGUCUUUUAUUCGCCCGUCAGCCGUGGGAUCCAGAGGUGCCUUGUUAGAUGGUACGAUAUGCUGAUGCAUGGGUUUGAUUUAGCAGUUGAAGUGAGUACCUUUGUGGCAUGUCCUGACAUAUAUAAGUGCUUCAGGCUUGUUCAAGAACGGCUAAAUCUGAGCUUAAAGAACUCCGUUCGGUUCCACUGGCAGCGUGUCAUACGAGGCCGUAGCUAUCGGCACUUGUUGAAACAAGCUGGAGUGAAAUAGUGUAUGGUGGUACGUUCGAAUUCUCUUGAUUCAGCUUUGCUUUUCAUCUGGAGUUUGACUGUUGUAAUACUUUAAUAUGAAGAUAUAUGCUCUUGCAACAAUGCAAUGCAAAUGAAGGUUAUAUAAAUAUGAAUAUGCACUUUGAAGAAAUGCUCAGCUCUGCAGCUGUCAAAGUAGAUAUGAAGACUCUAACUGAAGUCUAUCCUAUUGAAAUUCAAUACAUAGUUUUACUGCAUUACUAAAUAUGAUACUCCGGUGCAUUCCUAGAAGCCAUACCAGUCUAUGGUCUAAUAAUGCGCUCGUUGUUUACAUCCGGUGUUCAUGAAAUAAGUUCAUUCACAUUGAACUAUUGCGAAUGCAGCAUCAGGUUGUUCUUGUAUGGCCAAGUUAGUGAAAGAUGAACUUUACUAUGCCACUCCAUGAAAUUAAGUGGUUCUGUUUCAGGCAACACAGCAGCAAUAGUUCGUUUAUUGGUUCGGAGCACUCUUCUGUCAUCAAAACUACACAGUAAGUCGAUGUCUACUGAUACCUUGUGCUACAGCUUUUAUCCAAAUCAGAAAUUUCUGUCAUAUUAGCUUUGAUUACGUUGUUACUGUUAUAAAUUUUUAGAGCAUCAUUUGUUCUUUGCCUUCUUCAGCUUCACUAAACGUCACCCUUCUCACCGGCUUAAAAUUGUACACUUCCUUGUAGACCAUCUAUCUGUUUUGCUGUCAUGUUCUGGAAAUCACGUAGAACUCUACCUCGUUAUCGAUUUGCUGCUAUUAGCCAUACAUCGUUCUGUUUCUGUUUCAAAAUCGUGAACAAAAAAAUAAUGUGCAGAAGUUGCAAGAACCAAAAUGGCCACAAAACAUUGAUAGUUAGUCUGUUUUCUGUAAAAUUGGUGUGUUAUUCAGCAUUCUUGAGUUAUAUAAUUAGCUAUGAUGAUGACUUACAAAUUUCCUUCCAUUGCAGUUGCGCGGCGGAAGUGAAGAUCCAAAUUUUGUUAUUGAAAUCAAACUGCAGAUUGAGAGUCAUAGAAAUAUCAAAUUCAUUUAGGAUACAAAUUUAGUUUGCAAUAUCAUGGUGUUUCUGUUAAAUAUCAGUUGAUGAAAUUUGUAUUAUGUGACCACAUUUUAAUUUGAGGAUGUGAAACUUACGUGGUGGUUUAUAUUUGUACUUUAAUUAGAUGAUUGUUUAAAACGAAAUAAAUCAAAUCUUGGUUGGAGUUAAACCAUGAACUUUACAAUUUUACAUAAUUUUUUUGACUUACCAAAUGAACUUUUCUUUUUGCAGUUUGAAUCCAUUUUCAAUUCUGAUUAAAUAUUACAUUAGCUUGUCGCAUUCUCUUAUAUAUAUACACACAUGAUUUUACUUUAUUAUUGUACUCUAAAUUUGACAGUGGAUAUAUUUAUUUUAGUAUAGUAGAUAUUAGAUUAUUGUUCGAAUCCAUCGGUAAUUACAUACCUUCAAAUAGUAUAUAGUACUUAUAGUUUUAGCUAGCAAGCAGUUUGUGUUUUUAAUGUAAUAGUUUUCUAUUGCUGACUUAUUUACUCAUAUAAUCAUAUCAAAAUUAUUUAUUCCAUGCCGUUUAAACCUGUAUAAAUUAGUUCCAUAAUAAAAAUUUAGUGCUUGUGUAUAUACAUUUCAUUAAAUCCUAAUUUGAUGUAUGUAAUCAAGGUCAUUAACUCGUAAAUUAAUACUUCAUUCGCCCACUAAAAACUUACUAAUUUUCUUUUAUGUGACGCACACAAAAUAACUUUCUACAUAUUUUUGGACUAUACCCCAUCAUUUAUAAAUACCUCAUUCACCUCUACUUUUUACAUUUUCACCACUUUCAAUACUAAUUAACAUAUUUUCAUCACUGUCAAUACAUUCAACAACCGAGAGAGUAUAUGUUCAAUGGGUAGCAACUUUAUUUGUCCUCAAACUUUCUAUUUUAUUUUUUUCAUGAAUGCAUAUUAUUUAUAAUUGUUCGAUUUUCAAUACAAUAACUCUUCCUACACAUUUUUUUUUUUACCGCAGAUGACACUUAUUUGAAGAUUACAUUCCUCAAUUUUGGCUUCAUAGUUGAUGCCACCCGAUGGGAUAUCCACCAUGCACCAAUGUACAAUACUAUACAAAAUCACAUAAAAAUACGAGAUAAAACACAACAUUAAACAAAAAAAAUUAUACGAAUUCAUAAAUUCCUAAUUUAUCAGACCAGGAUCCUCAACUUAAGAGUAGUAUCUCAUCUUCUAUUCCGAUCGUUGGACUGUCGUCACGUAUAUUCAAAAAUCUCACGACCAUUCAUCGAAAAUUUAUCAAAGUAUACAUGAAAACAAUCCAACGAUUCGAAUAGAAAAUGAAACUCCAUCUCACCAUCACGAAUAGACCAAGUGUUAUUUCCUAUCAAUCUUAAUUGAAAAGAAACAUCAAAUAUUUGGAGUGGAUGGAAUUUUCUUAGAGAAAAAAUGAUAUAUCUCAAUGGGAUUAAAUAUGUGAUCUUAAUUGAAAAGGACUUAAGCUAAAAGCUAGAACAUCAAAUAUUUGGAGUGGAUGGAAUUUUUUUAGAGAAGAAAUGAUAAAAUCUCAAUGGGAUUAAAUAUGUGUGGGUAAGCAAGCUUGUGAAGGAAUAAAGGUAAUGGUGGUGGUUAAGGUGGUGAAAUCACAUGAUAAUUUGUCUGCUAAAAUCUAAAAAUCACGAGGAACAUGUACCUUGAGCAUGAAUUUCUGUACACAAUCAUUGCACAUUAUUCCAUGUAGCAUAUCACACCUUUUUACCAUAUUCUACCACACUUUUUCCUCAUGCAUCAUCCUCUUCAUACACUAUUCAUUAUAUUUAUCAUCCCAAAUUUUUUUGUGUCACAUUCUUUACGUUUCAAUAAUUUAUUUACAAUUUUAUUCGGUUUAUGUAGAUUCGUACAAUGAAGAUCUAAUAAAUUUUAAGUAAAUUGUGUAUGUAGAAAGUUAGUAUUCUCACCAUCGCCCGGAUAAAUGCCUCUAUCUAUAUUAAAUCAUAUACCGAGAAAAAAGAUAAGUUUAUUCCAUUCGUCCAUAAAAAAUAAUAUAUUUUUGUCAUUUUGAAACGUUCACAAAAAUUAAUCCCGUUUCAUUUUUAGAAAUUUUCUAUUACAUGAUGAGCUCUUUUCUCCAUUAUAUCUCCACUUAUAAUAUAAUUAAUUGUCAUUACUAUUUUUAAGUGGGGUCCCUUCUCCACUCAUAAUACACUCAACUAUUAUUAUUAUUAUUAAGACUCGUGUUGUUCCCUUCUAAGACUGUUUUUAUGAACGGAUGAAGUAUUAUUUUUACCUUCAAUGAUUGCAUGUAAGAUUGAAUAAUUAAACAAUUUGCUUUGAGGACAAGAGUAAAAUUUAUUACUAUUUCUAUUUUAUUCAGAUUAUAUAGGUAGAUUCAUAGAAUUAGAUCUAAUAAUAAGUUAAAAUAAUUGUGUAUAUAAAAAACAAUAUACUCCACCCAUCACCUGAAUACGUGCCUCUUUCCGUAUUAAAUUGUACACCAAGAAAAUAGGUGAAUUUAUUCUUUUUACCUUCGAUAAUUGCAUGGAAAAAUUGAAUAAUUAAAUAAUUUGCAUUGAGCACAAGAAAGAGUAAUAUCAUUAUAUAUGAAAUACAUCCUUCAUAGAGGAUAAGUUUUAUUAUUUGAGGAUGCAAAGAGUAUGAUUUUAACACGAGCUAAUAUUGUUUCUAAUAUCUUAACAUUUCAAAAAAUAACUUGGAUUUUCCUUUUAAUUUCUCUCCAUAUAUACGCUAGUAUGAGAGUUUAUAAUUUGAAAAUAAUACAUAUAUGCACUCCAAUGAAAUCACUUAUUUUUAGUGAGAUCUUAGACACGAUCUCGUGCGUGCCUUGUUCAUCAAUAUAUAUAUAUAUCUUAUUCAUUACCAAUUUUUNAAAUUUCGUUAUUCAUCAAUCUGCAUGUCUUAUUCUGUUGUUCAUCAGUAUAUAUGUCUUAUUUAUUGAAAAAUAAGGGUCACAUUGAAGCGCACAUGUGUGUGGUUGUGUGAGAGAUCAUUUAAUUAAUGUUCACUAGCUUUGUAUGAUGAAUUAUAUGGUGCUUAGUUUCUUAGAAAGUUCUGUUUUUUAGAGUCAUGCAGUAAGUAGUCUGAAGACUAACUAAUGGAUACUAUUAUUUAAAAAUACUAUAUAAAUAGUAUUUGGCACUAUUCAUAGGCCAUAACAAAUGACAAAAUAGUCAAAUUGUACCCACCAAUUAUUAGAACAUGAGUUCCCAAAGAAAAUUCUGAUUAUUAAUUUAUGGAUAAAUUGCAGCCAAUAUUGCUAAGACCUAACAUAUAUAGUGAUUAAUUAAAUAAAAAAUAAUUACAUUAAAAUGAUAAAUUACAUCCGUAGUACCUUGAAAAUAUUUAAUUCUUCAUUUAAAAUCAAUAAAUUCAUUUUUUUUAUGACUAGUCAACCUAUAUGACUUCUCAUUAUUUGAUACUUGAAUCAAUUAAUUUAACGAGUUAUAUAUUUUUCCUCCAAAUUAAUUAUUUAUUCGCGUUACAUACAAGAAAAUAAAUUAAAUAAAAACCAAUCAUCGGAGAGAGCCCUAGUACUUGAUUAUAAAUACAUAUAAUCAAUUAAUCAUCCACAUAUAUAAUAAUUCAGCAAUAACAAAAUAAAUAUAUGGGAUGAAAAAAAGAGGAAAAUAAAUUGAAGGGAAGGGUGAAAAAAGAAAGAAAAGGGACAGUUCACGUGGAAAGAUUCAUAUAUAGUGUGGAUAAAUUGCAUAAAAUUGGUAAGUCCAACUGCACCCACUAUUUGUUUAUUAAUAAGUGAGAUCUGGUUGUUACGUGUAUUCAAGGCUCUUCUCCCAUGGUAUCCUAUGCUAAUUUGCUAAUGUCCUACCACAUAUAUAUACCAUUAAUUAAUUUAUUCACAAUAUCGUAUCAUACAAUCACAUACAAAUCUUUUUUUCUUUUUCUUUUUUAAUCUAAAUCAUUAAUUAUGAGGUUGUCAUAAAAAAAUAUUAUUGAUGACAAUGUAAAUCAUACAAUGAUCAAUUAUGACAAUCAUAUAGUAUCAUAUAGUGAUCGAUGAUUCAGAUUGACAUGCUCAUGUACCUGGUAUUAUAUACAUCCUUCGUCCAUCAAAUGAUUUCAUAACUUUUCUUUUAAUAGGAGAAGUUACGUGUAUAUGGAUUGAAUCGGGUAUAAAAACCAAUUUUAUUCCAUGGCUUUAAUAUGUAAGUAAAUCAUUAUUUUAAGCUUAAUAUAUCAAUCUUAAUCAUCCCUCAAUUAAAAUGAAUAUAUGACCUAAAUUGGUUUCUACUUAAGUAAUCAAGAUGGUUUUAUUUGAUCAUUCAAGCAUUCUACUAAUAUAGUAUAGUGUAUACCAUUUUCUCAUGUAGUUAAAUGGGUGGGUGAUCGAUCUUAAUUAUAAUUAAAAGAUUUUAAAUAUAUUUGAAUUUUCGCCUCAAAAAAUAUAUAUAUUUGAAUUUUGUCGACAGCCUCUUAGAAUUUGAAAUUUGGAGAUGGUUAAGGGGGGUGGAUUUCAAGGGGGUGGAAGGGAGGUGGCAAACAUUGCAUUAUUGCAUAUUGAGAUUUAGAUAAUUAAUUAAUUAAUUGCUCUAAAAAAAGAUUAGAUAAUUAAUGUUUCCGAUUCUAACAGCACCGAAUCAGAGGGGUUUGGAAACAUCCUCGCCGUUUUAGUCACCGUAUCGGAAUUUGUACAAUAAUAACUUAAAUAAUUUCUAUUUUAAUUGUAUUUUUUUAGGGGUCUAUUUUUAAUUGUGUUUUUUGUACAUCUUCAUUAUUUUUCAUGUAUACCAUUGGUUCUCCCUUCCUCCGAUUGAAACAAAAUCUUAUUUUUACUCGUAAUCCAAGUAUUUUUUUUUAUUAUUAUUUUUGAAUUACAAGAGAUAUCUAAAUAUUAUAUAAUUAAAAACCUGCACCAAAAAAGGUGAAAAAUAUUUGUGCCGCACGAGAGGAACCACUACACCACACAAAGAUAAAAAAAAUACACCGCAUGCAGGCGGAAUUGAACUCUGUUCAAGCUAAUGAAUCAAAUUUACAACAAUUUUAGCGCAAAAGUGAUUUUCAUAGUUGUAGUGCGUAGAGCUACAACUUGUGACCAAAAAUGAUAUACGUGGCUAGCAAUGUGGACGACACAUCGUUGGGGUCACGUUCAAAAUAAGAUAAAUUAAAAAAAAUAGAUUGGAUUAAAAUUAUCACAAAAUCAUAAUAUUAAGAUAAAUUUGUAUCCACCUACAAUAUUAUUUCAUCUAUGUUAGAUUAUGUGUCGUCGACCAAUUAUAAUCUGACACUAUAUCACUUUUCAACAAUUUUAUAAAUGCAAAUUCAAUUUUCUAAAAUUAAAAUUAUCACAAAAUCAUACUAUCUGCUCAUUCGAUCGUAUCUUCCAUAAUUUUUUUAAAGUUAGAAUAUUUCAAGGUGGAAAAAAAGAAAUUAAAACGACAAAAAUAGAAAGUAUGGGAAAAGCAAGGUAAAAUAGAAGAUAUAAUCCAAAAACCGCGUGAGAAGUGGUGGGAGCCCAUUUAGUUACCACUUUUAUAACUUUUUCAAGUAACGUAACUUCUAAACUUGCAGUUAUAGUUAGCACUAAUCCCAAAAAGUAAUGUCAAUUCCCCUCUCUCUCUCUCUCUACAUUUAGAUACACAUAUACAUACAUAUAAAUGGAUUGAAUGAAUUUAAUUAAUGUAGAACACCUCAUAAGCUCAGUAUCAACAGCAGAGCAUCACUUUAGACAGCAAUGGGAAUAAUGAGACCAAAUGUCAUCUAAGUUAAGAAUCUUUUUGGUCUAAAUAGGCUUCUAUUUUUUGCAUUAAUGUGAUCACUUAGGUUUAUGCCAUUUUAAAGUGAUUCUUCAAGAUUGUGGUUGUAUUUAUGUGGAGUAAAAGACAGAAUUAGACGUUACGACAGAAUGUGUAUUACUGGAUAUAUAUAGCGUGAUAUAAUCAACCGUUAUAAUUAUAGGCAAAUGGCUCUAUAUGUGAUAUUGGGAUGCUUAUACCUAGCUCAACUCAUCUUUGAUCAUCAAUUGCAAGAUGAAUAGGAAAGUUGAAAAUUGCAAUUUGUAGAAUCAUUAGUCCCUCAAAAUAAGCAAGGAAAAAGCACUUUGCAAUCUCCCUUUUUUCAAGCUUAAGUCAUCAUAAGUGUGAUAUAGAAGGAAAAGGCAAUGCUUACUUAUUUUAGGCUAUGAUGAUAAUAGGUCUAUUUUACUCUACACUCCAACUAAACCUAAAAUCAACUAUAUACCAAUUUUUCUAUACACCCACAAAAGCAUUACAAUAUCGAUUUAAAUCUGAAUCCCCAACUCGACAAACUGUGAGAUCGGCAAUAUCAUACAAGAUCUUCUUUAAUCAAAUACGACAAGCGGAAAACAGAACAUAGCGUAAAAUCUCACGAUUGCUAAAAAUGAAAGAAUUUUGGACAUAAAAGGCAUCUCAUCAAAUAGAAAGUGUAUGAUAUUAUGCAUUAAAUGAUCAAAACAAGCCAGAAAUAAAGGAGGCAAACAAAAAAAAUCCUUUCAAGAAUGGUAAAUCCAGCCCCAAAACCUGCAAAAAUCACAACAUAUUUCAUGUGCUAGGAGCCCUAGCUAUGACAAGCAACAAAAAAGAAAAGGAAAAUAGAAAUGGCAACAAACCAAGAAAAAGCCAAGAUUUGUGAAUUUAAGGAGAAAAAAAGAAACCCAAGAUUGAGAUGCAUCACCUCCAAAAGCAAACAGUUCAUGACAUAGACAUGUUACAAAAGUUAGCUCACUUGUGUAAGAAUAAAGAAACCCCCCCAACCCCCACCCACCCCCUACCACCCCACCCUCCCCACCCCCACCCCCCACCCUUUCCCUCACUCAAUUACCUUACAUCGCACGCCUCCCCCCCACCCUUAUACAUAAACAUAUAUUGACGCAAAAAAUAAAUUCACACACACUCUCUCAUUUUGCUUAUCAAAAAAACCUCACCAUUCCCCGCCCCCACAACACACGCCUCCGGCCCCCCCAAGCCCCCCAUCGGCAUCGAGGCGAAAUCCGGCGCGAGUAACGAUGUCUGCAGAUCUCGAAAUCAGACUUCCAAUCAUCGAUGCUGCGCCGACUUCUCAAGAUUCCGACAAGAUUGACAGCAUUGAUGGCGACAGCGAGAGCUGCAUCAGUGAGGAGGAAGAGUGCCUGACUCCGAAAUCAACGGAGCACAUGAUCCCGGCGGCGCUCAGCCCCCCGCCGGCGCCGAAGAAGCCGCUGCGGCGGCGGGGCUCCUCGUGCAAGAGGAAGCUCUACGAGCUCGACUUCUUCGAGGCCGUGGCCGAGGACAAGAUCGACGCCUUCUUCAGAAAGGCUGAGGAAAAUAUCGGCGGCGCCGUCGCCGCCGCCGCAAAGAGGAGAUGCGUGGUGUAAAGAGGAUUUCGGCUGACACGUGUUGUCUUGUUAAUGGUGAAAAUUUAUUUGUUUUUUUUUAUAUAGAGAAAUUAGUUUGGUUUGAGAAAGAAUUCUCAAGCCUAUGAUCAUGAUUCAUGAUCUUUAUGAAUUAUGUAUGUAGAUUAAUUACACGGUUUUUUUAUUUCUUUUAUAUAUAAUUGAAUUAUCUUUCUAUGAAUCUCCGAUUAUUGAGUUGAUUUAAUUUGUAGUUCUUGAUCAUAAAUUGAUUGGUGAUCAGGUAAAAAUAAUUUUUUGAUUUUUCGUGUUGG